AGUCAAUAGAUACCCGGGUAGUCCAUGCCGUAAACGAUGAUUGCUAGGUGUGGGGGGUCUGACCCCUUCCGUGCCGGAGUUAAACACAAAUAAGCAAUCCACCUGGGGAGUACGGCCGCAAGGUUGAAACUCAAAGGAAUUGACGGGGGCCCGCACAAGCAGUGGAGUAUGUGGUUUAAUUCGAAGCAACGCGAAGAACCUUACCAGGUCUUGACAUCCACCGAAUCCUGUAGAGAUACGGGAGUGCCCUUCGGGGAACGGUGAGACAGGUGGUGCAUGGUUGUCGUCAGCUCGUGUCGUGAGAUGUUGGGUUAAGUCCCGCAACGAGCGCAACCCUUGUGAAUAGUUGCUACGAAAGAGCACUCUAUUCAGACCGCCGUUGACAAAACGGAGGAAGGUGGGGAUGACGUCAAAUCAUCAUGCCCCUUACGACCUGGGCUACACACGCACUACAAUGGUCGUCAACAGAGGGAAGCAAGACCGCGAGGUGGAGCGAACCCCUAAAAACCGAUCUCAGUUCAGAUUGCAGGCUGAAACUCGCCUGCA
rnacentral:rRNA from 1 species